UUUAGGGCUGCACCCACGGCUUAUGGAGGUUCCCAGGCUAGGGGUCUAAUCGGAGCUGUAGCCACAGGCCUACACCACAGCCACAGCAACGCCAGAUCCGAGCUGCAUCUGCAACCUACACCACAGCUCAUGGCAACACUGGAUCCUUAACCCACUGAGCGAGGCCAGGGAUCAAACCUGCAAUCUCAUGGUUCAUAGUUGGAUUCUUUUCAGCCGUGUCAUGACGGGAACUCCAUCUUGACUUUUCUUACAAAAGCCCUGUCUGAUGUGUCUCCUGCCUAUGUCUUAUCCUUGCCCCUUUUUACUCUCCACUCAGCCACAUUUGAUUUCAGUUCCUCAAAUAUGCACUGCUCGCUAUGGGUGCUGAGCCUCUGGACAAGCUGGUCCCUCUGUUGAGAAUCCUCUGCCCACUGCCUCUACCUGACACCCUCUCCCAUCCUUGGCUGCCUCCCUAUUCCUUCAGUUCAGGCUUCUCUGACCUCCCAAGUCUGAUUCAAUGGCCCUCCUCUGUGCUCUUAAACAGUUACACAUACUGAAGUUGUUUAAUUAUGCUCUCCCUUCUACUCGAUUUUCAGCAUUGCAAAUAUGACCAUGGUAGGGACCAUGCCUAUUUUAUUCAUCUUACUAUCUUCAGUGCUUCUCACUUACUCUAAGCUCAAUAUAUUUUUAUUGACUAAAUGAACCCAAAGUAGGCACUUGGUAUUCAAUACAUGCUUUCCUUACUAGUGGAUAAACAUGUCUGACUAGUUAGGCAAUUAGAAGAUAUUUAGCGGAACAGCCACACUCAUGGUGAAUGAAAAGAAAGAAUCCCUCUCUCCAGAUGUCUAAAUUUAAUGAUUUUUUAAAAGAAUCACUGAGUUUCAUAGAGCACUGUAAAUUGUGAUGCUCCUGUAGAGAAAAAGAUCAAAUUAAAAUCAGCUCUUGCUUUCCAAUUUAAGUUGUCAACAGGCGUUCUUCUUUGAGAUUUCCCCAGGACUCCCAGAGAACAAGGAGAGAGAAGGGUAUACCCCAACUGUCAGCAGAGAUGCUCAUUACUCACCUACUCCACUCAAGAGCGGAGCUCCUCUCUCCUCUCUUGUGAUCUCAAGGUUGCUGGAAGGAUGAAGGGUCCAGUUCUGCUCAAAUAUUCAAUGAAUAUUUAACUGAAGGCUGACUAUAUGCAAGACAUCCUCUUAUUUUUUCACAAUCUCUUCAGGUUUUAUGAAGGAUCAAGAUUUUGUCUCCUGAAAGUAUUUUAUUCUCUUGCACAGACUGCCCUUCCCUAGAGUAAAGAGGAUAGCCUUUACUCUAUUGCCUAAGACCCUCUAGGGCUUUAAGGAGCAGAAUAAAAUCAGAGAAACUGUUUUUGUCCCAGCCAUAUGGGUCCAAAUCCCACUACUCAUUUAAGAUACCCCAAAGAAUUUUGCUCUGAGCUAUUUUUCUCAUCGUAUUGAGAAAUGCUUUGCACUACUGAUACUUUCUCGUCCAUUCAUUCCAGUAUAUAUUAGCCCCUGGUACCUCUUGGCUGGCCAUAGAACAGUUUUUCUCCAUGAGAAAACAAGCAGUCCAGAAAGGAGAUCAAAUUUUAAAUCGAAUAGCAAACCAACUCCACUAUCUCCAAUUUCAUUUAGAGAACUGAUCUGCUGGAAUCUCACAAAAGCAUGGCAUUACCUUGCUGGCACCCACGUAAGUUUAGUUUGCUUAGAUACAACACCAGAAAACACAAAGCAAACACUGGUAUUUCAGAAAUGCUGUGUUGGCUGGAAGCGAACCAUGCAAACGGAAGCAAACGGAAGAGGGCCUUUAGUCGGUGUGUCCUUGCCUGUCAGGAAGAUGAUGUUGUCACCGUAUAAGAUUCCAUUUUGUUUACUUGUACCAAGUUCCCCAAAUAAAGACUUCCAUUACCUUUCCACAGACAAGAGAAGCUUUAAAGAAAUAAAGCCACAAGAUAGAUUUUUCUGGAAAUGUUCUUAAAGAGAUGUGAGCUUCUCGUCGUAUAUAAAUCUUCUCUAGAAAAUGCUGGGUUCUGUGGUUACAAGUGUACUUACAAAUCAGACCAAGGGUAUUUGCGGAUCCAGAUGGUUAAUUGGUGGCUCAAAGGGGUACAUACCUGUAGCAUAUGGAAGUUCCUGGGCCAGGGACUGAAUCUGAGCUGCAGCUGUGACGGUGACCUAUGCCACAGCUGUGGCAAUAUUGGAUCCUUAACCCAUUGUCCCACAGCAGGAACUCCAUGUUAUUCAAUUCUUUACAGAGACUCAUGUCUCUCCCAUUUCCUAGUGUAUUUCAUUGGUAAGCAAGAAUAAUUCAUCAUAAGGAAGGAAUGCAUCAAAAGAUUAAGACUGACUUUCUAUUUGAAUUCCCAUUACAACCAAGCAUAUUUGAAGAUCGAAAAGAUGUUCAAACCAGUGUCAUGGGUCAACAUAUAAUUAAAUUCCAACACAGGCUCUUAGAGACAGUUCCUUUGGAAUUUGCUGUUAGGGAAUUUGACAUGUUAGGUCACUGCUCUGAACUCUUUUCUCCAAACUAUAUCCUUCCAGAGGUGUUUGAGCUAUGAAUAAUUUGGAAUAUCCUUUCCAUGAGCCAUUGAAUGAUUAAACAGGUUCUUAGACUAAAGAUAGCUUUAUACUUCAUUUAAGAUUCUUUGACUUUGUUGUAUUUCAGUGAAGCUACUGAACUCU
ensembl:lncRNA